rnacentral:rRNA from 1 species
UGGGGAAUAUUGGGCAAUGGAGGCAACUCUGACCCAGCCAUGCCGCGUGGGUGACGAAGGUCUUCGGAUUGUAAAGCCCUUUCGGCGGGGACGAUGAUGACGGUACCCGCAGAAGAAGCCCCGGCUAACUUCGUGCCAGCAGCCGCGGUAAUACGAAGGGGGCUAGCGUUGUUCGGAAUUACUGGGCGUAAAGGGCGUGUAGGCGGUCCGCUAAGUCAGGUGUGAAAUUCCUGGGCUCAACCCAGGACGUGCGCCUGAGACUGACGGACUUGAGUCCGGGAGAGGAUGGUGGAACUCCCAGUGUAGAGGUGAAAUUCGUAGAUAUUGGGAAGAACACCCGUGGCGAAGGCGGCCAUCUGGACCGGUACUGACGCUAAGGCGCGACAGCGUGGGGAGCAAACAGGAUUAGAUACCCUGGUAGUCCACGCCGUAAACGAUGGGUGCUAGGUGUCGCGGGCUUUGACUCCUGCGGUGCCGUAGCUAACGCAUUAAGCACCCGCCUGGGAAGUACGGCCGCG